GAAUAUUUAAAAUAUGGCUAGUGUGACUGGGAGCUGAAGUUUCCAUUUUAUUUAGACUUAACUAGCUCAAAUUUAAAUAGCCACAUGUAACUUAUGGCUUGGUAUUGGACAGCAUAGAACAUCUAUAGAAAAUCAAAAGCAGUGGGUAAAAAAUGAGGAAUCAGAAGAAGGUAUUUCAGAAAUGUGAACUAUUGUCAGCUGUGAAGGUUCCAAGUGCCUUCUAGAUGGCGUAUUUAUACCUCAAAUCUCUGGAACUGGGUAGCAGAAGACAGUUGCCUGGGGACUAUAUAAUUCAGCUCUGAUGGGGAUAUACAAUGACAAACAGAGGUAAAGUUAACCUCUACCUGUGGUUCAGGAGGAGGAGCGCCCCCUGCCUUCUGUCCCUAACCUGCUCAGAACAUCAUUGACAAUGAGCUGUCCAUGCUUGAGAAGAUCUGCAGAGCCAUGAAAAUAAAGAGAACUUCACGUAUGUGUGGCUGUUGCUGGUUGUUACCAAGGUUGGAUCCUUAGGACACAGGUUUUCUUUUUUAAUGACAGGAGGAAGACUGCACACCUUCAAACUUAAGGAAGAGUGG
rnacentral:lncRNA from 10 species